rnacentral:lncRNA from 1 species
UUAAAUACAAUUGUAUAAGAUAAAAUCAAAUAAUAUUUAAUAAUAAAAAAAUGAGUUAUUACAUUUUUCACCCCUUAAAAAUAAUUCCGUCCUCGGAAUUCAAAUAAGCUACAAAAAUAAUAAUUUAGUUACGACGUAGCGCCACCAUUUGUAACGAUCAAGCCUGGUAAGUCCAUAGGUCCACACAAUUAUCCAUGUACUCGUAAAAGAUUCGUCAGCUACCGUGUCAAGCCUUGGUAAGGUUCUUCGCGUUAAAUCACAUGAUCCACUGUUGGUGUGGGCCCCCCGUUAAUAUCUUUGAGUUUCAUUCUUGCAAGCGUACGUACUCUUCGGAACAUAAUUUGAAAUCACAAACAUUUUUCUUCAUCUAAAUACGAUUCAAAUAACCAAAAUAUUUAAAAUUAUUUUUAACUCGUUAAAAUGUUUAUAUUCCACACAUGACAAAGAUCUAAACAAAUUAUUUUUAUUUAAUUUUACAUAAAUUCAGGCAAAACUCUAAAGACAUCAGAUAACCAAAAUAACUAUGUAAACCAUAUUACCAACUCUCCCUAAGUCCUCAAGAGCU